rnacentral:rRNA from 1 species
GAUGAACGCUGGCGGCGUGCCUAAUACAUGCAAGUCGAGCGAACAGACGAGGAGCUUGCUCCUCUGACGUUAGCGGCGGACGGGUGAGUAACACGUGGAUAACCUACCUAUAAGACUGGGAUAACUUCGGGAAACCCGAGCUAAUACCGGAUAAUAUAUUGAACCGCAUGGUUCAAUAGUGAAAGACGGUUUUGCUGUCACUUAUAGAUGGAUCCGCGCCGCAUUAGCUAGUUGGUAAGGUAACGGCUUACCAAGGCAACGAUGCGUAGCCGACCUGAGAGGGUGAUCGGCCACACUGGAACUGAGACACGGUCCAGACUCCUACGGGAGGCAGCAGUAGGGAAUCUUCCGCAAUGGGCGAAAGCCUGACGGAGCAACGCCGCGUGAGUGAUGAAGGUCUUCGGAUCGUAAAACUCUGUUAUUAGGGAAGAACAAAUGUGUAAGUAACUAUGCACGUCUUGACGGCACCUAAUCAGAAAGCCACGGCUAACUACGUG